rnacentral:rRNA from 1 species
CAGGGAUUGCCCUAGUAACGGCGAGUGAACAGGCAAGAGCUCAGAUUUGAAAGGCACUUUUGUGCCGUUGUAUUCUGAAGUUAGGGUCCUGAGAAACGAUGCUUAAGUCUUCUGGAAAGGAGCGCCAUGGAGGGUGAUAGCCCCGUCUAGCAUUGACCUCAUAUAGGAUCUUAACAUGGAGUCGAGUUGUUUGGGAAUGCAGCUCAAAUGGGUGGUAUGCUCCAUCUAAAGCUAAAUAUCUGCGAGAGACCGAUAGUAAACAAGUACUGUGAGGGAAAGAUGAAAAGAACUUUGAAAAGAGAGUGAAAAAGUACGUGAAAUUGUUGAAAUGGAAGGGUAGGCCGCUAACCAUGUAGAGCCGUGUUUGGGGGGAAGAUAAAUGCUGUAGAAUGUAGCUCCUCGGAGUAUUAUAGAUGCAGUUCAUAUUCCCACCCGAGCGCGAGGAUCUCAGGUUCUACUAAAUGGUGGUCUACC